AACACCUUGCAUUUAGAUUUGCAUUUUGAUUAGUUGUUUCUGUUUGGCUGACAGAUUUUGUUUUGUUGAUAUCACAAUGGCCAUACGUGUCUGUUGCAGGACACACCUGAAUCAUUGUGCUUCCCCACCAGUACUUGUGCAUUAGUUCAGAAGCAGCAUUUCACCAACUGGAGGUGCUCCAGGAUCAGUAAGCCAUGUGGAGAUAGUCUCUUGGUUUUCUCUUCUUUUCCUCAGUCCACACUGGCUGUGCCAAGUGCCAGCUGGCUCCCAAAGCACAUGCUGCCCUCCUGGCUAUUUGGUAGCAGAUCCAAUAGCCUCUAUGUAGUAAAAGCAGCCAGGCUGAGGAUGUGCUGCCUUUUGUGCUGGCUAGCACUGAUUUAGAGUAUGGCAAACAAACAGCUCUCUGAAGAUAAAAUAAACAGCAGAGAUUGCCAGGAGAUAUGUUACAAGAAUUUACUGGUUAAAUUUCUAGUCUCAAACUGUGACAGUGGUUUUGCAAGCUCAUUUCUGAGCUCAUUGUGUAGCUUGGUAAAACCUACACAGUGAGACAAAGCGGGGGGUAUUGACCUGGAAUGCCUAGGGGCAUGUGAUGUUAGAGGAACCCUUGUAAAAGCUGGUUAUAUGCUAUUGACAUGGUGCAACGUGGAUAUUUCUCUCACAACCAAUAUCCAGCAGGCUUUGUUUCUUUUCAGUUCUUACUGCUCUACUCUUCAAUCAAUUGGCAAUACACUGCAUUCAUCUUCCCCAUGCUGAGUCUGCUGUGCUCCUGGUGGUAGUUGGUGGUGCGGCUGGGUGCGCACCUGGCAGCUGCCCAUGGCCAACCAACAGCACUGGGGCUCUUAAGGCAUCUGUACAAAGUUCUUAUAAGUCAAUGAGAUGCUACAAAUCUGAGAAUGCCUGGGCUAUGCCACACUGAGGAGAAAGAUUUAAACAAAGAGUAAUGUCAUGCUUACUCCUGAAGAGGAUAUGUGGAAUGAGAUGUGUGGACAGUCCUGUGGAUGCGUCACGUGAACGUUAUGUGAUGUACAGUCACUGCUUGGUUUAAUCACUGCCAUGUGUACCCUUCUAAUAAAACAGAUCACUAUGUGAUUAGUUACGGUGUAGUAAUUUGUAAGAGCAAAACUUUGUUUCCUGCCUAAAGGGAACUGGGAAGAGCUAUAAACAUGAAAUAGCAGUGCUACCUGUGGAAUUUAACUGCUGUUUUGCAAUAUCCGUUAUGAUUAACAGCAUGCCACGCAGCGUAUUUCUUAGUAUGGAUGCUUUGGGAAUACAAGGCGUAAUGCUUAGUAGUCAUUAAAAGCUGAAC
ensembl:lncRNA